GGGGACAUCUUGCAGACAGUGAUGUUAACCUACCUGAGGCUGACAGGACAUCUACAUUAGACACAACACUCAGCUGUAGACGGCCAAAAACUCACUUUGCAGACACAUUUCAAACAUGCAUAUGUCCUUUAUGCAAAGUGUACAGUAUGGCAAAAUUAAAAUAUUUUACAUUACAUCACGCGCCUAUCCAUGUCGAAAUGCGAAACCCCUGACAGAGUAUUUCAAUUUCACGGGGAACACUGUGUUAACUGUGAUAAGGCCAAUGACACAACCAAGACAAACUGCAGAUUUGUGGAAACUCUACGGUACAAUUCUCAAAGCUCUCAGUUUUUUCCAUAGUCAGUUUGACAUGAUAGUACUAAAAGAACAUUUCAACACAGAAAAUACAAAUUACACACUGUUUCUUGACCCUUUGAUAUGAAAUAUUUGAUGCUAUUUGGAUUCUUUCCAAUUCCAUAAUUAUACUCCGGGACUUUAAAAGAGAAUCUCUGAGACGCUUAAAGGAUGUCAAUUUAUUUUGCCCAAGUUACCCAACAAUCUCAUGGUUUGUGUCUCUUCACAUCAAUUGGACAGCAAGAGUACAUCAUGAGAGCCAUAAUGCUUCAUAACUUUUUUCUAUGCCCAACAACUGACCAACAAAACUCCAUUCAGUUCUUUAAGUUUAGCAAAUAGUUGACCCAAUAAAAAUAUUCUAAUAACCAAAGAUACAUUGGUGGUUCUUAUUGAGGACCAUGUAUCUGUUUGGUGUUAUGAGUUACCCUGAGAUUUCCAUACUUAGUCCAAUGUCAUAUUUUUGUCUAACAACCAGUUUUGUUACAAACUUCACCAGAAAAUCUUCACCGUGCCAAAAGCAACCAAAGGCUGCCCAACUAUGAUUUGUCUUUCUUGCUAGCCAGAGUUAAGUUGACAGAGAUGGAGGAGAAAUAAUGUUCAUGCUGUGGUGAAUUACGUUUUCAGUCUCCCUAUGCUGCUCCAACUGUGGGUGUCUGGUAUAUAUCAGUGUUACAAUAUCUGCCAGUAAUGGGAAUAUUUUGUCAGUAUUUUGUCCAAUAAACACAACUGCCAAUAAUUGCUGCACAGGGAUUUUGUCUAGCACUUAAAUUACAUGCCUCAUGCUCAAGGGCUGUAGUCCUUGAAGCAGGCGACCGUAGUUCUUUUUCAACCAUUAGCUGCAUGUCAUUCCCUACUUUUCCUUCUAUAUUGGUAAGCAAUCCUUAAUCAAGCAGAGAAAGGAAGAACAACAGCAACAAGCAUAUGCUACCAAGGGUAACAUGACUGAGACUUGCAAAACAUGCACCAUAAUUUUGACAAGGGAAAGAAAAAGUCUGUCUUACUCCAGACAUACAAAUUUAUGUUAGGCCAAUGACAAUGCUCAGAGUUUGACAGCCAAAAGCUUAGUGAAGACGAACAUGGCUUUUAUUGUGUAUUGACGGAUGCAGUUAGUUUUUGAAGCUACCUGUGUUUUAUUUGAUGAUAAAGUAGUACAAUGUCUACUUUGAUCAUCCGUCAAAGUAUUUCAUCCAAAUCUCUGGGAUAAUAGGCUGUAAUUGCCAAAACAUGUUGGCUGUAGGUUGUUUUUUUUAUAUAUAUACAACAGUUUCAUGUAAAACAAUUUCACUUUUAUGUUUUUUUAUCAGCCCUAAUUCCAAAGCCAAUUUCAAUGUCCAGAAAAAUGGGAAUUCCAAUGGUCAAAUCAACUGGCAAACUGGUGGACUAAUUGCUAGAGCUGAUAAAUAUCAAUCGGUCAGGGAAACCUUUGGUCGUAUGCUGCCCUGACAAAGAGGGACAGAUCUAUUCAUGGAUCUAUUUCAGAAUACCCCAGGCUGUUGUGGAACGCAAACUGAAAGUAUCUUUGAAAUCCUGGUGUUUUGAAUACAAAUGACUGUGUGAGGUGGGAGAUCUGCAAAAUAAAUCAAACAUCCUAAUCUGUUGGCCUAAAAGCAGGAAUGUAACUGUAAGAGCUUGCUAAUGCAGUUCAUGUCCAAGUGGCUUUAAGUAUUGCCACCUAAUGAUACCAGUUUUCUUUAUUAAACACAUACACUCGCAUAAUUCCAGUGAUCAGUGGGAACACAGCUGGUACAGACGCACAUGCUCUGUCUUUUUUUCCUUACAAAUGAUGUGAAAAUGGCCCAUUAUGGUGAGGAACAAAGAAGAUAGGCCCCAUGUUAGAGCCAACCCCUCAUUGAUGCCCUGGUGACUCGGCCAGCCACUCUCCCAAGGCCUACUCCUUGAUUAAAUGCAUAAUCCACUACUCCCCAUCCCCAAUGAUUUAGUGUGCCUUUAAAUCAGCUUGCGCACACAUAAAAACCUCAAAUAAAAAUCACCAAGAAAAACCAUUGCACUCUAACUGUUCUAUUAAAAUGAUACCCGGCCCAGCCUUUCUUCUCUGCAAUACCGUUUAUUCCACAUGAAUGCAUAUCUUCAUUUUUUUUCAUAGGUAUGCAUAUAAAAUAUUUAAAGUUUAAAAUGUCACCGUUGAAACAUCAAAUGCAGGAGUCUCUCAUUAAUCAGCAAGGAUGGAGGCUCUCUUUUAAGGUUAUAACCCUUUGAAAGAGCAAAAAUUACAUUUUUGACCUUGAAGAUGAGACAAACUCAUAAACGUAAAAUAAUUUGCAGUUUAAAGGGGAAAGAGAUAUCGGUUACCUCAGCCAGCAGAGCUCUGGGUUGUCAGGGGGAGACCAAACAAGUCUCAUUUUCAUAUUUACAUCCAAGCUGUUGAGAUUAAUUUAAAAUCACAUCAAGAAAGAAAAGAAACAAAACUCGGAGAAAACAUCAAAAGGGGCAACUGUCAAACUUUCAAAUCCAUGGGGCCUCAGCUAUCUCCGCCGUGUGAAACACAGACUUUUUUCUUACGGUUUUAUUAAAUGGUGCAUGACAUUUUCAUUACUCAAGGAAAUUAAAUUGACUAAUUUUCUUACAAGCCCCGUACGUCUGCUAUUUUAGGGAGGUGCAGAGAAGAGAGCAAUUGUUUCAACACCUACACAAGAGGAAUGUGAACGUGAUGUGCCCUCCGAAGAAAAGAGAUUUCAAAACCUUAAAGGAAAUUUGUUCUCUAAUGAGGGGAUUUAGGGUUUUGAUCUUUUUCUCAAAACUGGGAUUUGAUCUUCCCUCUUAGUUCUGAUUCCUGCUCAUUAUCAUGGGGACAACAAAAAACACACCUUCAAAAACAGUCUUUAAAUUAAACCUACAGUCUUCAUUCUUCACUGGAUAAACACACGAGACUAAGGAUGGCAAUAGGAGGCUGUUUUUGAUGAUUUUCUUUCCAUAAUUCGAGGAUGUUUAUCAGAGACACAGGGACAUAAUGAAAAUAAAAGCUCAUAAUCCCAAAAAGAAAACAAACAUUUAUCAUAUUAAGAACUUCAAACCAAUCUCCUGACUUUUUGGUUCGGCUUUAGUUGUGUUGUAAAUCUUAAAAAGCACCAAAAGAAGACAAACAUUUCAUCUCCCAUAUGUUCUUUGACUUUUAAGAGACUUAACACGCAAACACACUGAGCUCAACAUGAAGAAAAGCAUCUUGAUUUACUAAUGCAGGAUAAGAAAGGCAGCCCUCAGAAAUGAGACAGGACUCAGUGAAGAAUCAGUGAGGACAGCUGAGGGAAAUAUGGAGUCAGCCAUGGACCUCGACACUGCCCCUCCUCUGGAGAUGAAAAGGCUGAUUACCUUCAACCUCUCUGGGGUGUAAGCCACAUGGCUGACAACAUCAUUGGAAAAUAGACUGCUGAGCUCCUUUGGGCCCUAUAACAGCUUACAUUUAAUGUGGGGGGAAAAUUCACACUAAAAAGGAGGUGACACCACAGCCAUACUCUCAUAUUGUUGAAUAUAUUAUGAGGGGUGCCACUUAUUUAUGUCUGGAGUUAUAAUGUUGAUGGGGAUAGUUUAAAUUACACAUGUGGUUUUAAGAUGGUUCAGUAACUCAUGAUUAGCUACAUUCCUCUUAUCUGGAUGAUUUCUACAGAUGACAAAGUUAUGUAUACAUCACAGAAAAGAUUGUGAAAAUUGUGAAUAUUCAAUUUACGACUCCUACCGUGAAGGGGAAUUACCUGCAUAAUGAACUGUACCUCUGAAAGCAUCCAAAAAGCCUCCUGUGAUAAUUUAAGACAGACUUUUGUUGAAUUCUGAACACAACUGUUGGUGCUCAUCAGAGGAGUCGCUGUGAAAAAAGUCAAGGCUUUAGAAAUGAUCUAAUCAAAACUGGUAAUUGUUUAAUAAGUCCUCCAAAGUGUCUCAGUGACACAUUUUGAGAGUCAUUGGAUGAAAAAUAGCAAAUCCAAAAUGAAAUCCCACUAAUCCUUUGAUGAAUAAGCUCCAGUCCUUUCCAUGACCUCUGUGUUUGUCAACGACGACCACAAUUUAGUGGCUGCCUGAACUUUAUUUCAAAGGUUACUGAAUUAACUUAAAAUUACUUACAAUGCUAUUAAAACACUGAGCUCUUUUGUUGUGGCAGCAAAUUAAUUUCAAACCUCAGCUAUUUGAAAUAUUCAGAGACAUUAUGGGGAGGGGGGGGUAAAAGAAUGGCAGAAGUCGGGCUUUCUCAAUGCUUUUUGGCUUGGCAAAUGCUCGUCUUGAGCGAUGAGCAAAAGAAACUGGGCUUAACAAGAAACAUAUGCUAUUCCACUAGAGAGGAAGCCUUGGUAAGAGGAUCAUGGCUAUGUAAUAAACAGAGACAGGAAAAGGGCACGUGUGGCGGUUUGGGUGGAUGAGGAGUUUUUCAAAGGCGACAUGGAGACACAGGCUUAAAACACAGAGUAUAGGCGGAUCAAUCCACUUUGUUUAUCCAGGCACAAGAAACUGAAUUUGCACCAGGUCACUCAAAGAUUUCAUUUUCUGUCUCUUGACUGUAUCAUCCUCAGAACUGUAUGUACAAUGAGGAUUUUUUUUAAUCUUGUCUCCAUGCAAUUCCUGAUCAGAUAGCUGAAAUGAAGUUUGUCCAACUAUUAUAACUCAAGCUAAACCGUCCUGACUCUCCUCUUUUGUUUUGUAAGAAAUACAUAUUCAGCACAUUUAUUUCUGUAAACAAAGUAUUAUUGUUUUUUUUGUUUGUUUGUUUUUUUUAAUAAUCAUGUAUUCAACCAUUAUUAAAUAGAUAAUGUUUGAAAUAAAUCUAUAAGAUCUUUACUUUUAAACUUUCAUAGUUAAGGCAUUAUGCAGGGUUUCUUUUGGGACUGAAGUGUGCCAGUCUCUAGUUUGUAUGUACUCUGCACUAGGGCAUAUGUCUGUGCUGUAAUCACAACAACAAUCUUUUACAGAUUGCCCAUAAUUAGAAAAGCUCCUCUCCAAACCAGCUCCAUGUUAAGAGCAUGAUUGCAGCCAAAUUGAGCAGUAAUUUGUACGAUGUGGACGUGGGUGCUGUGUGAGGGGAGAUGUCUGAUGGUUUAAUGCCACUUUUAUAAGGUCUGGUUAGCCUGCCUCGCUCCAACUAAACACAUGGACCUCAGCAUCAGACUAGGAAAAGAGCCUCUGUAUUGCAUCAUGGGAAACAGAUCUGAAGCUGAUUAAAAAAAAAGAGGGGAAAAAAGGCAGAAGCGGUAUACAUGUUUUCUGUCCUCUGUAACCCCAGGAGACCCAUCAUGGAUGCUAAUGGAAUCACUUGCCCUACUAUUAUACAAAAACCUAAACAUCACCUGGCUUUCUGUGUGGAGAACAGAUGCACUCAUUAUUAUUCCACAAAGCUGAUCAAGGCCAAGCUACUAAGAGGUCUAAUGAAGACUCUCCUGUUACUGUACCACAUACACAGAAUUUAAACUCUGCUGUGAUGUUUUUAAUUAGUGAUGCCUUUAAGAAGCUGAAUAACUGUGAAACUUAACUGUGACCGUCAGAGCCCACCUUUUCACUGUGGCUGGUAAGACGUGACCCAGAUUUUAUUGUUUUCCCCUGUUCCACUCCACCAUUCUUGACAGGAACCUACAUUUUCUAAGGCUCAGAAUAACUGCUGAUAUUUUUCAUCACAUCUUUGAGGGAAACUGUUUUAAACAGGAAUAUUGUUUUACAUCCAUAGGCCCUUGUUGGGUAGUGAACUACUCUGCUUUUAUGUCCGUGCUUGGACAACUGUCAUUACUUACCAGUUCUCAAGACCAGCCUUCAAUAGAAACUUAUAUUUUAGCCACAGUGGCGACAGACAGAUUUGAAAUGGGCCAGACCCUUUUAUGCAAAUUGAUUUGAUACCACGUGUGUGAUCAGGUCAUCCCUGGUAUUGCUUCGGUUGUUAAGGUUUAAUUACUGUUGUUGUAGGGUUUUGACAAAUCAGAGUCAAGUCUUUGCCACAGCCAGUAGAUAAAAGCUUUGAAUGAUCAUCAUCACCAGCUAUGACUUAUCCAUAAUAUUUAAGGUGGACUUUUAUGUUCCAGUUGAAAACUACUUGGAUAAAGUUGUUUUCCCUUUUCCACUGGCCCAGUUUGAAAAAAAUACAUACUGUGUUGCCUUGGUUUUUGAGUAAUCAAAUCCAGGGUAAUAGAUAAGACAAAAGAGCAAACAUCAACCAGGAGAUGCCCCUGUCAAAUUCUUACAAAUCAGUAAUUUACACUGAUAAACAAAUAUGAAAACAGGAACAAGUAAGUUCUAGAUUCUGUCAAGUACAAUACAUAAAAUCAUAUGAACAGAAGCAGUUAACUAUUAAAUAGUCAGAUGUAAAGCAUCUUCAUGUGAUGCCUGAAGAUGUUAAAAAUAUACUGGUGUUGGAAACUACAAAGAAAGCUCUAAAUGGAGCGGAAAGACUGGACAGCAGUGUCAGCAAACACAUGAGAAUGUCUCUUUCACCUGCCAUAAUUACUGCUGCCAAUCCAAAACGAUUUUAUAAUUCCAAAAUCCUGACACUUCACAAAGACUCUAUAAUUGCAUCAGAAUGGCCUUUCACACUUGAGAGGUCUAUUAAUUAUUUUUCCCUAUGACCUAUCCUGAAAUACAUCUUGUGACUUUUUUCCCUGAAAGCAGCCUCAUAAGAGGAUGUGGAAUUUUUCAUGAAAACAUGAAAAAUAUCCACUUGAGAUGGAUGCAUUCUCUCCUCUCCUUUCUGCCCUCAAAACAUCCCAGAAUAGAGCAAUGAUGUGGUGCUAAAUACACAGCGAAGCUUAAAGAAUUUCACAGGGAUUGACAGUUUCAAGUUGAGGAGGCAAAUCUAAAGGUAGCAAGGGUCAAAACAAUAACUCUAACUGCAUGAAACCUUGUGACUAAGAGGGCCAAAACAAACAGGACAGGGAAGCUUGAGGGACAUUACUAGUUACAAAUGCAUCUCAAAAUUAGUGUGUUUUUAGUACUUUAUUCUAAGACGUCAACUAUGAUUCAUUACAUGUAAAGUGAGAUAUUUCAAGUUCAUCUCAAAGACAGGCAAUGAUAUGUUACAAGAGAUCUCAAACUGGCUAGCACUGAAGUUGCACAACUAGUGGAGAUACUACUUGACUUGACAAUGGUACAUAACAGCUGAUGGAAAAAAAUAAGUAAACACCCUCAAAGUCAACAUGGCCUAAUGUACCAAUGCUAACAAGAAGCAUAAAAAAACAAUCAAACACUUGAGGUCAGCCGUGUUUGGUUUUGUGCUCUAGGAAACCCUGCAUCAGUUCCCUCAUAAGUGCUUAAACACAAAGAUAUAUGGAGAAGUUCAUUUUGUGAUAUUUCAAACUCCAAACACAACAUUUCACUUCUGUGAUUAUGUUGGGCUAUUUUACUCAUCAACAACUACUGAAACUCAUCAUGGAGAAAUCAAGCACUUAAGACUAAGAGCCUGAUCUACUAGAGCUGCAUGUAUAAAAACACGUGCAAACUUGAUAGCGGGCAAAGCUGAUCUACUAACCUGGCGCACAGAGGAUUUCAUCUGUCAAAUAAGCAGAACACCAUGCGCAAUCCAUUUAGUGUUUUUGCCUUCAUGAGUAUGCAGAAAGUAUGCACAAAAUACAGGGGUGGAGGAGAUGCAAAUGGAAUCAUUUAGCACCUGCAACGUGAUUUAUCAAACCCAGAAACUGACUGUGGUCUGUGUUUUUGCGUCUAUAUUUAGCACGUUUAAAAGGCAGAUGCAAACUGGCACAGCGUUACGCACAAAUGGCAGUGGUCAUCGUGGCAAGAGGGAGGCAAAGGUGCAAUGACAGACAAAGGAUAAAGAGAAUCUCUUCUAGAUGAUCUAAGGACUGAUUUGAAGCCAGUCACAAAAAGGAUCCGUAUCUACUAUAUGGAAAGAUUCUUUGUAACACUGCAUUUUUCUGCAUCUGGAUCAUUCCAGCGCACUAUCGCAAUUAGCGCCGGCGUCUCCCAGAGUAGUUAUUCUGGUGUGCUGUACCAAGUGUUGAAUGCUAGGUCACGCAGGAUGGGCCAGUAUAUCCAGUUCCUACACACUCAAGACGCUGUAAAUGAUACAAAACACAGCUUUUAUGCUGUUGCUGGCUUUUCCAAAACAAUAGGUGCAAAUCCAGGGCUUCAAACUUCAUUUUUUGUUGACAGCCACUCUGCCAGAUCACCCGCAACAUGCCCACUAAUAGCACAUGCAAUUUUUUAGUUUGUUCACUUAAUUUAGCGCUCGCUAUUCGCAGUGUUGCUUUCG